rnacentral:rRNA from 1 species
CGGUUGAUCCCGCCGGAGGCCAUUGCUAUUGGGAUCCGAUUUAGCCAUGCUAGUUGUACGAGUUUAGACUCGUAGCGAAUAGCUCAGUAACACGUGGCCAAACUACCCUUCGGACCACGAUACCCUCGGGAAACUGAGGUUAAUAGUGUAUCCCACACUCAGACUGGAAUGUCGAGUGUGACAAACGCUCCGGCGCCGAAGGAUGUGGCUGCGGCCGAUUAGGUAGACGGUGGGGUAACGGCCCACCGUGCCAAUAAUCGGUACGGGUCAUGAGAGUGAGAACCCGGAGACGGAAUCUGAGACAAGAUUCCGGGCCCUACGGGGCGCAGCAGGCGCGAAACCUUUACACUGUACGCCAGUGCGAUAAGGGGAUCCCAAGUGCGCAGGCAUAGAGCCUGCGCUUUUGUUCACCCUAGGGAGGUGACCGAAUAAGGGCUGGGCAAGACCGGUGCCAGCCGCCGCGGUGAUACCGGCAGCCCGAGUGAUGGCCGAUCUUAUUGGGCCUAAAGCGUCCGUAGCUGGCCGCGCAAGUCCAUCGGGAAAUCCACCCGCCCAACGGGUGGCCGUCCGGUGGAAACUGCACGGCUUGGGACCGGAAGGCGCGACGGGUACGUCCAGGGUAGGAGUGAAAUCCCGUAAUCCUGGACGGACCGCCGAUGGCGAAAGCACGUCGCGAGAACGGAUCCGACAGUGAGGGACGAAAGCCAGGGUCUCGAACCGGAUUAGAUACCCGGGUAGUC